AUCAUAACACUGAAUCCGCCAUUUUGUCUGACUAUCAGCAGCAGUGGCGUAGCCACGGGUGUGCCGGUGCCACCCAAAGUGGCAGCUGGCACACCUACAAUAGGUCCAGGUGAAAUUGCAAGCACAACAAACCUCACAAGUAUCGAAAAUGGGCUACUUUCCCAUAGACUGGAGUGAGACCAUAGACGUCUCUCGAGCUGUCGCGAUCAUUCUUGGCUCUCUGUGGCUUGUAGCGCUAAGUGCUUCAGUUCAUGCAGAGCGGGCGUGAACGGACCAUCUCUAAUAAACAUGAAUGAACAUCCAAAGGAAAAUGGACCAAAAAUAUUGAUCACAUCAUCUCCUGCUCAGGGGUGUAUUCAAAUUAUUCUCCAAUCAAAUCUUUCUAGAACAAGAAAAUCCAGUUCUACGUCAGAAUGCCGACUCAUUAUUGGCCGGCUCCUGCGUCAGCAUCACACGAAUGAGUCGUGCUGCUCACAUGAUCAGCCUCUGCCAAUUAUGAAUUAUGAGCUAUUUAAAAAUCAUCAAAAAUAUCUUCAUUUGUGUUUCAAAGAUGAACAAAGGUCUUACGGGUGUGGAAUGACAUGAGGGUGAGUAAUUAAUGACAGAAUUUUAAUUUUUGGAUGAACUAGCUCUUUAAAUUGUCCAACGUGUCUACUUAAUCCUGACCAAAGGCGCAUUGUAAAACCAGUCGUAAGGAUCUUCUCAGGAGGGCUUGUAGGCAGCAGUAGCUGGUAAAGUUUAAAACUCUUGAAUAUGUGUUAGGUUUGUAGCUGGCCUUGUUACUCACCAGGAUGCAUUAGCACUUACACUGCAAAUGGGAAGUGGCCAUAUGCGUCCCUAAACAACUCCAAAAGGGGUUUGAGUGAUUGGAUCACAAGAUGCAUUGGACCCCAUUUCUAGCUCUAUUUAUAGCUGACCACUUGUGAUUGAAUGACAGAUGUUAGGUGUAAAUGGGGCCAUAUUACUGCAUUUUUGGAAAAAGGGAGUUACUACUGCAUAUGAAAGAGUGCAACAGAUUUUUAUUGAUGGUUCAUAAGUUCAGCUGUGAAUGUGGAUACAAAAGUUCUGCUGCAAUUCGUUUGGACAUUUAAUUGAGCUCUGAGGGAUAUCAUUUGCGUGCAUGAAUACUGGAUGUGCCAUACUUUUUAAGGGGACCAAUUAUGCAAAAUUCACUUUUAUAAGGUGUUUGAACACCGAUGUGUGUCUACAGUGUGUGUAAACAACCAGCCCAUAAUGGUAAAAAUCCACCCACUCCUUUUUAUAAUCUCCAUAAAUCACGAACAGCAUCUCCAAACGAGAGGUUCCAGAUUUCCUCUUACUCUUACGUAAGAGUAGGGUGAAACCCCGCCCAUGAUUGGUGAUGGAAUCCGCCCUAUUAUCUUAUUAUCUUGCCCUAUUAUCUUGAGCUGUACACAGUCGGCCAUGUUUAUCUCUUUGCCAGAGCGUUUAAAAUGUAUUCUUUUUAAAGUUACUAAAAAGUUGUUUAAUCAAGAGCACUGAGUGAUUUUCUGUUUUUCAUUUGUUGUUUGGUUCAUAUUUGCAGCAUAUACAGCAGUAGUGACCGAUUGUGUUUAUGAACUUUGUGUGUUUCUGACAUACAUUGUGUGAAUUUGACAGUUUAAGUGCAAUAAGACAUGUAAGAGAAAUCAGUUUAUUGCUCACAGUAUGUGCCGUCUGACAGCCUGGUUUUUGUGAGUGUCCUUUGGAUGUGUAUGCUCAGAAAACCAUAUAUCAGAUGUUUAAACUGUUUAAACACAUGCAAAUAAUUAACUUUAAUGAUGACGAAGAACUGCAAUGUCACGUAAGCGUGGUCGAUGAUGAUCAAAUCCAAACAGAUGUUUUAGUUUUUUGAUCAGAGUAUUCGAGGCACGAGUUGUACAGGCUCCGCCCUCUUCUGGUAAGAGUGGUAGGGAGCAGCAGCUCAUUUGCAUUUAAAGACACAUGCAUGAAAACAGCAUGUU